AGAGUUUGAUCCUGGCUCAGAUUGAACGCUGGCGGCAUGCCUAACACAUGCAAGUCGAACGAGAUCACCUCGGUGGUCUAGUGGCGGACGGGUGAGUAAUACAUGGGAAUCUGCCUUUUAGUGGGGGAUAACGUAGGGAAACUUACGCUAAUACCGCAUACGCUCUACGGAGGAAAGGGGGGGAUCGCAAGACCUCUCGCUAAAAGAUGAGCCCAUGUCUGAUUAGCUAGUUGGUGGGGUAAAGGCCUACCAAGGCGACGAUCAGUAGCCGGCCUGAGAGGGUGUACGGCCACACUGGGACUGAGACACGGCCCAGACUCCUACGGGAGGCAGCAGUGGGGAAUAUUGGACAAUGGGCGCAAGCCUGAUGCAGCAACGCCGCGUGAGUGAUGAAGGCUUUCGGGUCGUAAAACUCUGUCCUAUGGGAAGAAAAAAAUGACGGUACCAUAGGAGGAAGCCCCGGCUAACUACGUGCCAGCAGCCGCGGUAAUACGUAGGGGGCAAGCGUUAUCCGGAAUCACUGGGCGUAAAGGGUGCGUAGGUGGCUUAUCAAGCCAGGGGUGAAAGGCAUUGGCUCAACCAAUGUAAGCCUUUGGAACUGAUAGGCUUGAGUGCAGGAGAGGUAAGUGGAAUUCCUAGUGUAGAGGUGAAAUUCGUAGAUAUUAGGAGGAACACCAGUGGCGAAGGCGACUUACUGGACUGUAACUGACACUGAGGCACGAAAGCGUGGGUAGCGAACAGGAUUAGAUACCCUGGUAGUC
rnacentral:rRNA from 1 species